GGAAGUAAACGUCGUAACAAGGUCUCCGUAGGUGAACCUGCGGAGGGAUCAUUACAGAGUUCUCGCCCUCGCGGGUAGAUCUCCCACCCACUGUUAUCGUUACUGUGUUGCUUUGGCGGGCCGCCGGGCCCCGCUCGGCCGCCGGCUCCGGCUGGCGCGCGCCCGCCAGAGGCCCAGCAAACUCUGAAUGUUAGUGUCGUCUGAGUACUAUAUAAUAGUUAAAACUUUCAACAACGGAUCUCUUGGUUCUG
rnacentral:misc_RNA from 1 species